GCGGAAGUAGCUCAGUCGGUAGAGCGCAACCUUGCCAAGGUUGAGGUCGCGGGUUCGAGCCCCGUCUUCCGC
rnacentral:tRNA from 1 species